UAUCUUCUUAUUAGGAUAGUUGUACCUUUGUAAACCACCGCCUCCGCCUAUAUUAUUUGUCCUUUAAUUUUUGUUGCUUUUUCUGAACCACACGAUUUGUCUUUUGCUUGAUGGGCUCGAGACCAUAAAAUGUUCCAUCUUUCUCUUCCUCUUUUCUCUUCUCUUUUCAUUUAUUCUUCUCUUUUACCCCUCAUUGCUUUUCUUCCACCGGGACAAGCCAACAAUAGUCCAACUGUCGAAUGUCCACUUGUUUGAGUUCAAUUUUUUUUCCAUAUAUCAUGUCUAUCUGUUCGAUUUAUAUUACAGCAAGAGAAAUGGGACAAAGAAAAACGUAAGCCAUGAAAAAAAGAAGCAAAAAGGGAGAAAAUGGAUCUUCAUCAGAACAUGUAUAUUUUUGUUUUUACUUUUUUUUUGUGAAAUUUAAGCUGGUUCUAUGAGUCUUUUCAUUUAAUUUUUUCCCCUGAUCAGAGAAAGAAGAUGAGAAGAAGAAUAAGUAGAUGAAAAGAAAAAUAUGGCUCUUCAUCCUCAUCGGCUCUGUAAGUUUAUUUUUAUUUUAAUUUAAUCAGUUUUUGUAAGGUUUUAUUUUAGUUUAAAAUACAUUUUAAUCUGAUUUUUUGAAAUGAAAAUAAGGAGGUGAAGCAGAUGAAGGGAAAUAACGGAUCUCUGGUUUGAAUCAGUACUGUACAUUUUUUCUUUUACUUUUUUUUUGUAACUUAAGCAGUUUUUCUGAGUUUUUUUUUUCUUUGCCUCUUUUUAAAAUCUGAUUUUCUAUUAUUGAAUCUAAAGCAAGAAAUAAAGAAGAAAUCAUAACAUUUCACAGUCUUAAGUGAUUUUUUGUUAAUUUGUGUAAGUACGAUCAGUGUUUGUGGAUUGAUUAUUAGAAUAAUUGAAAAAUUGGAUUUUGAUGAACUCAUUGUAAAUGGUAAGAGCUUGAAAGUAAUUGAUCAGAGAAUGCUUAGGAUCACAUCGGAUUGUUUUUGCUUUGAGUUUUCACUUUUCUCUGGUUUAUUCAUUGUGCAAUUAUUUAUUAUACUGACAAUAAGAUUUGGUUUUGAUGAGACUGUUUGAGGAUUCUAAUAGCUUACAAGCAAAUGAUAAAGGUAGACAGCUUAAUCAUUUAUACUUUUUGGUUUGGGGUUUCAUUUCAAUUUGUGGGAAUUAAAUACUAAAGGAGCUACAUUUUGGGAUAUGAAUGUUAAUUAUCAUUGGAUUUGCUAAAAUUAGCGCUUAUGGUGUACAUUUAAAGCUUAAAGUAAUGCAAUUACCUUGGACACUCAUGAUUUAUCUAAAAUAGAAAGAGAAAAAUAUGCCACAUACUCAUUUAUCCAAAUCUGUUUACUGAAACUUAUAUGCAAAAUCCCACCUUUUUGUCAGAAAAACUACCAAAAAAUCUCAGGACAAGAAAUGUAUGAAGACUUUUGUUAGAAGGCUGGAUGGGCUUUAAGUUUAACCGCCCUUGUGGAAGUGGGAUCAUCAAUUGUAGCUGAGAUUUAAUCUUUAGUGAGUUAUUCUUUGUAGUUCACUGAACCUUCGAAUGUUCUCUCCUUAAUUAUCUCCGCUGUUCAUGUCUCCAGUCUGGUUAAAUGGUAACAUUAAUUACAAUUUAUCUCUCAUUUAGGGAGUGUGCAUGCUUGUGUGUGGAAGUUCUGAUGGGUUUUAUACAUAUUUUUUGUGUUGAAGGAUCACUGCUAUGGCUUUGGUUUGGCCAUUUGGGGAAAAAUCUGGGACUUCUAGAAGAAAUUUUUUUUUUUAUUGAUUAGAGAAAAAAAUGUAUAUCGUGCUCAUUAUGCUUUCUGUGUAAAUCUUCCCAAUAAUAGGAACGUUCUUUCCAAUAAAUUUAAAACCAAGUUUGAAUGAUGUUACAGGCCUGACCAUUGUGAGAGGAGUCCAGGGUUCUCUGACAUUAUUUUAUGCUAUGUCUUUAUAACAAAGGUAGCUAGCAUUGAAUUGGGGGUCGAGUUAAUUGAGGCCUCUCUGCAUGCUGGCCUGUCAUUUCCUAAUGAUCUACAUUUCGAUAUUGUUACUUUAUAUUAGAGAUCAAUAAUUGUAGAAAGCAAGCUUUAAGUUAUGUUCGGCCUGCAAUCUCUGUAUUGCUAUAUGUUUCCUCUAUCUACUGACAAUCUAUUGUUAAAGGAGAUGGUGGGUAUGUGUAAGUUUCCUCUAGAAGGUAUUAGGUGUGAUGUCAAAAGCCGUGAACCUACUUGAAAUUGAUCAAAACAUGAUUCAGGGAUAACAAUAAAACAUAUUUUCAAGCUCCUUUUCCAUCAUUUAUAUUGUCAUUGGUCUUCAUUCUCCAUCUUCUAUACUUUUGUGCUACUCCAUUUAUCAACUUUUUAGUUAUAUCUGUGUGUAUUGAAAAAUAGUGGACUAC
rnacentral:lncRNA from 1 species